rnacentral:hammerhead_ribozyme from 1 species
AUCUAGCCGACGAGUCCCAAAUACGACGAAACGCGUGUUGAACUAGAU